rfam:Pleurotus ostreatus PC15 unplaced genomic scaffold scaffold_03, whole genome shotgun sequence.
GCCCGCCUAGCUCAAUCGGAUAGAGCGUCAGACUCUUACAGGCGAGUAGCGUGAUCUGAAGGCUGCGAGUUCGACCCUCGCGGUGGGCU